rnacentral:rRNA from 1 species
AGAGUACGUGAAACCGUUCAGGGGUAAACCUGAGAAACCCGAAAGGUCGAAAGGGGAAAUUCAUUCGCGUUUCGGCCGUCGGCGUGGGAUGGUGGAGUGACGGACGGCGUUCUGCGUCGUCCGCGCCUUCUUUCCUUCGUACCGGCGUCGAACGCGUGCACUUUUCCCCUAGUAGGACGUCGCGAUCCGUUGGGUGUCGGUCUAAGGCCUGCGGUGGAGCCCGCGCGAGCGUUUCGGCGUUCGCUCGGACCCGCGGUGUCCCGGCCGACCCGCUCGACGGUAUACAGAUGGCGCGGGGCCGCUACACAGUUAGCGUUCGGCCUGCGGCAAGCGCGUUCUGCGUUUUGAUGGCGAUCGGACCUGGUGCCGGUCCCGUCCCGGAACGACUGUUGGCCGCGGUGUUCUCGAACAGACCUCGUUUGAAACGCCGAUCUGCGACGCUAUAGCUUUGGGUACUUUCAGGACCCGUCUUGAAACACGGACCAAGGAGUCUAGCAUGUGCGCGAGUCAUUGGGACAUAACUAAACCUAAAGGCGCAAUGAAAGUGAAGGUCCGCCUCGCGCGGACCGAGGGAGGAUGGGCGGUUCGCCCUCAAAAGUGGCCGCCCCGCACUCCCGGGGCGUCUCGUUCUCAUCGCGAGAAGA